ensembl:lncRNA
AAAGACUGCAGACAUAGCACAAUGGAGUGACUUUAAACUGUGUUUCUUCCUACGGAGGAACUAUCCAUCUGUGAGUUGUUCCAGCAGACUCAUCGAGGCAGUGAGGUUUUCACAGUUUUAUGAGACAAAUAACAAAACUGACAUUGCUCUUCAAUUCCCAGCAGUCCGGAGAGCCAACAGAGAACUCAGCAGUCCCAUGUGCACACACGCCAAACCCCAUCCUUCGCCAGAUCAAACACAGAAGUGGCAUAAGGGACAGAUCUAUUUGGCUUAUGCUGGACAAUUGCUCUUCACUGUUUGUGUUGCACAGCCUCGAAGAGCCGCGGUGGUGGAUCCAGCCCUCACCGCAUGAGCACAGUCAGAAUUAACAGCGCCGGUUGAACUGCGGGGUCCUUCAAACCCACACCAAAAUCCACACCAAAUAAGCAAGAAGGACAGUAAUCUGUGAACGCCCAUUCUGCCUACACUGCACGAGAAGACAUCAGCAGAAGCUACGAGUGCCACAAUACUUAAAGAGAAGGAAAUGCCAAAGAGCCACAGAGCCGCUGUGACCCCACAUCAGUGCUCAUUCACACGGAAGGAAUUUGGACAUGAAUUUCAAUGGGAAAAACAAACAAAACUGUUGUGACCAAACUCUACAAGGAUGGAAGUGAAGUCUGUCACUUGGAAGGGUUCCUGGCAGGGAGCUAAAGACGGGCACAGCUGUAUCCAAACAGGAAAUGUCGGGGAAUAAUAUUUAUUUUUAGAUAAAACGUGAGUUUCAGAAGAUUGGUAAAUGUGAAUGAGUAAUGCAUGGCAAACCACCAGUGGAGAACCUGAUUUUAUUCCUAUGAUUUCUACACGAUUAUUUUUAGAGCAACAUUUCAUAAACUUAAUAAGAAGGAAAAGAAUCUUAUUAAAUAGAAAGCUGGUCUACAUUUUGAGGCAAUUUUGCUCUAAACAAGACAUGCUGCCGAGCAGUAAUUAGGUGUAGUAACUGCAUUAUGCAUGUCUUGCUUCUUGUGUAUGAGGGCCCAUGUUUGAAUUACAAGAAUUACACUUUGUUUUAACUCGGAAUUAUCCUCCUGCAAACCAGGAAAACCAAACUUCUCCCUGAGAUGGCUUCCCGGGACUCUCCGGACUCUCCUAUACUUUCACUGUUAACUACUAAUAAUUUCAGCUGCUAUCAAAUCAUAAUGAGACAAAGGAAUAAUCCAGACAGAGGGUUGGCCCGAGGGAUGCAGGGUCACACUGCCAGGCUCUGCCCACAUGGUGUUGUGACAGCAAUUGCAGUGAGCAUGCAGGAUGUUUUUGCC